rnacentral:rRNA from 1 species
AUUGAACGCUGGCGGCAGGCCUAACACAUGCAAGUCGAACGAGUGGCGGACGGGUGAGUAAUGUCUGGGAAUCUGCCCGAUGGAGGGGGAUAACUACUGGAAACGGUAGCUAAUACCGCAUACCAUCGGAUGUGCCCAGAUGGGAUUAGCUUGUAGGUGAGGUAACGGCUCACCUAGGCGACGAUCCCUAGCUGGUCUGAGCGGAUGACCAGCCACUCGGGAAGUGAUGCAUGGUCGCGACUCCUACGACGGGCAGCGGUGGGGGAUAUGGCACAAGUUGCGGGUGUUGAAUGCAGGCUUGCGUCUUGUAUUAAAAAGGCCGGUGGUUUGUACAGUACUGUCUGCGGGGAGGCUGGAUCCGCAGAAGAAGCUCCGGCUAACUCCGUGCCAGCAGCCGCGGUAAGUC